CGAAACGGGUGAGGAAUACAUGGGUAACCUACCUUGAGAAGGAACUAACCCGACCGAAGGUGAGCUAACUACCUAUACGCUAUCUUUUUUCGAAAAGGAUAGGAAAGCCGGGUCGAGGACCUGGUACUCAAGGAGGGGCUCAUGUCCUAUCAGCUUGUUGGUGGGGUAACGGCCUACCAAGGCUAUGACGGGUAGCUGGUCUGAGAGGAUGAUCAGCCACACUGGCACUGAGAUACGGGCCAGACUCCUACGGGAGGCAGCAGUGAGGAAUAUUGCGCAAUGGGCGAAAGCCUGACGCAGCGACGCCGCGUGGGGGAUGAAGGUUUUCGGAUUGUAAACCCCUUUCAUGAGGAAAGAUAAAGUGGGUAACCACUUAGACGGUACCUCAAGAAGAAGCCACGGCUAACUUCGUG
rnacentral:rRNA from 1 species